GGGUGUUUGGCUGGGGAUCUCUAUCUGCCUGAGGCCUUCUAAGAACAGUCUUACAAAAACAAUAGAAGAUGCUGCUUAUGGACUGAAAGUCUUUUCUACUAACCAAGAUAAAGAGUCUUUGUACAUUACAUAGAGUAUCUGGUUCUUCAGAAUGUCUGUGAUCAAGUCAGACAUCAUACUUGCUUGGCAGGGGAGACACCAUGAUGUGAGGCUCAUCCCCUGCACUCUAGGUUGGCUCAAAAUUUCUUUCUGGUGUCCUGUUCCACCCUUUGUGCUCACCAUUUGCAUGCUGGGACAAUGCUGCUGGUUUCUCUCUGGGAAAAUGCACAGGCAGCACAGAGUUGCUGCAUCAACUCAACUGAAGUGGAUGCCUGAAGCUGCAAUGUGAACUCUGGCCAUCACACUGUGCAAGAACUCAAAAUCUGACUGAAAAUGUUACCUGCAAACAUGUGCUCACCUGGAGGUAGAAAUGACCCACUGAGGCUAGGAAAAGGGAUAAUGCCAGUGCCUGGUGAGGCAAAGUGAACCCCAGGUGUCCCAGUCCCAGGAGCAGGACAAAAUGAGGGCACUUCUGCGUGGCCAUCAGCAGGCAGCUAACCACAAACUCUGGUUUGCAGCAUGACAAAGCAGAGAAGAACUCUUUACUGGCAACUGCUGACCCACCUUAUCCAGUAAGUUUGUUCACAAGGUGGGCUACUUACACACAGAGGUGGUUGUAGGCAUAACAGCUGCUGAUACCUGCUCUUUUCCUCUAUCCUGGGAUGAGAAAUCUAUGCAAGAUGAGUGCAUUUUGUAUUUCUUUCCUUCCUCCCCUCAAAUAAAAUUUCUGACCUUCA